GUCCCAGUUCGGAUUGUAGUCUGCAACCCGGCUACAUGAAGCUGGAAUCGCUAGUAAUCGCGGAUCAGAAUGCCGCGGUGAAUACGUUCCCGGGUCUUGUACACACCGCCCGUCACACCAUGGGAGCCGGAAAUGCCCGAAGUCAGUGACCCAACCGCAAGGAGGGAGCUGCCUAAGGUGGAGCUGGUAACUGGGGUGAAGUCGUAACAAGGUAGC
rnacentral:rRNA from 1 species